rfam:Haliaeetus albicilla contig60131, whole genome shotgun sequence.
GGAACAUUCUGGGAGUUGUAGUCUUUCAAACAGAGCUUCGCACGGACAUACCUGUAUUGGAACACUACAGCUCCCUGAACUUCC